UGCAAGUCGAGCGAGAUCUUCGGAUCUAGCGGCGGACGGGUUAGUAACGCGUGGGAAUGUACCCUUCACUACGGAAUAGUCCCGGGAAACUGGGUUUAAUACCGUAUACGCCCUUCGGGGGAAAGAAUUUCGGUGAAGGAUCAGCCCGCGUUAGAUUAGAUAGUUGGUGGGGUAAUGGCCUACCAAGUCUACGAUCUAUAGCUGGUUUGAGAGGAUGAUCAGCAACACUGGGACUGAGACACGGCCCAGACUCCUACGGGAGGCAGCAGUGGGGAAUCUUAGACAAUGGGCGCAAGCCUGAUCUAGCCAUGCCGCGUGGAUGAUGAAGGCCUUAGGGUUGUAAAGUCCUUUCAGUCGUGAAGAUAAUGACGGUAGCGACAGAAGAAGCCCCGGCUAACUCCGUGCCAGCAGCCGCGGUAAUACGGAGGGGGCUAGCGUUGUUCGGAAUUACUGGGCGUAAAGCGCACGUAGGCGGACUAGUCAGUCAGAGGUGAAAUCCCAGGGCUCAACCCUGGAACUGCCUUUGAUACUGCUAGUCUUGAGGUCGAGAGAGGUGAGUGGAAUUCCGAGUGUAGAGGUGAAAUUCGUAGAUAUUCGGAGGAACACCAGUGGCGAAGGCGGCUCACUGGCUCGAUACUGACGCUGAGGUGCGAAAGUGUGGGGAGCAAACAGGAUUAGAUACCCUGGUAGUCCACACCGUAAACGAUGAAUGCCAGUCGUCGGGUAGCAUGCUAUUCGGUGACACACCUAACGGAUUAAGCAUUCCGCCUGGGGAGUACGGUCGCAAGAUUAAAACUCAAAGGAAUUGACGGGG
rnacentral:rRNA from 1 species